rnacentral:rRNA from 1 species
UGAGACAGUUCGGUCCCUAUCCGCUGCGCGCUUUAAUGGGCGAACAGCCCAACCCUUGGGACCUACUCCAGCCCCAGGAUGCGACGAGCCGACAUCGAGGUGCCAAACCAUGCCGUCGAUAUGGUCUCUGGGCAUUAACUGACGCUGAGGAGCGAAAGCAUGGGGAGCGAACAGGAUUAGAUACCCUGGUAGUCCAUGCCGUAAACGUUGGGCACUAGAUGUGGGGACAUUCCACGUUUUCCGCGUCGUAGCUAACGCAUUAAGUGCCCCGCCUGGGGAGUACGGCCGCAAGGCUAAAACUCAAAGGAAUUGACGGGG